GGAAGGCUGUGCGAUAGGAGCCGA
rnacentral:miRNA from 1 species